GUAACAAGGUUUCCGUAGGUGAACCUGCGGAAGGAUCAUUCAUGUUUUAAAAAAAAUCAACGUCUCUCUCCCUUCGGGGGGUGGGACGGAGAUUGAACCCCGGUGACCAUUCUAUACCAUUUUCAGGUGUGUGUGUGUGCGAUUUUCUGUGGUUGCGUGCUGUGUGCCUUGUGCGCACGCGCGCGGUCCAGAGGCGCGCAGACAGACACACAACUUUAUAUCUAAAACCCAAAACCGAAAACAACCAAAGGAAUUUGAAAAACCAAGAAUAAAACUCGUGACGGAGGAUAUCUUGGCUCCCACAUCGAUGAAGAACGCAGCGAAAUGCGAUACGUAGUGUGAAUUGCAGAACACGUGAGUCAUCGAAUCUUUGAACGCAAGUGGUGCUCGCGGGCAAUCCUGCGAGCAUGUCUGUUUGAGUGUCCGCACAAAAUACUCGCUCCCCCCCCCCAAAUGUAUGUGCCAUUGUGUGCAUAUAAAUGGGGUGUGUGAAGCGGCGAUUGGGCGCUUCUGUCCCUCACCGGACGGAUGGCCCGGAGUGCAGUGCUUGGCGAUGGGAGGUGUGCGGCGUGGGAAGGAGGGCAGGCGAAAGCUGGCCCAAAUUUCCGUGCCCGCCCCUGUUGUCGUGUGCAUCAACAUGUCCUGCGCGCUUGGCGCGCGGAAAACCAGUGUUUAUCAGCAAAAAAACGGAAGCGGAUUGCGCCAGCAUGCCAAAGCGUGUGCUGCGGUGCCUGUUAAAUCCACCUCCUCCCCCUUGCUGGGAAGUAACUACAUUCCAGUGGGGGUGCGCGAGGGGGCCUGGAUGGGUGCUGUGGCGACGACGAGGCAUGCAACCAAAAGGGCGCGGUGCGCGGUCACUGGCGAAAGCAACAACUUGGAUCUCAAAUCAGGCAAGACU
rnacentral:rRNA from 1 species